rnacentral:rRNA from 1 species
CUGCUCAAUGAUUUUUUAAAUUGCUGUGGUAUUUUGACUAUACAAAGGUAUUGUAAUAAGAUUUUAAUUGAAUGCUAAAAGAAUGGAAAUUUAAAAAAAAACUUUUUUAAAAAUAAAAAUUGAAUUUUUUUUAAUUUGUGCAAAAACAAUUAUACUUAUUAAAGACAAGAAGACCCUAAGAAUUUAAGAUUUUACAAUUAAAAAGUUUUUUUUUAAAAUCUUGAUUGGGGCGAUCAAAAAAUAUUAAUAACUUUUUAAAAUUUAAAUUGAUCUAUUAUUAAUAAACUAAUGAAUUAAAUACUCUAGGGAUAACAGCGUAAUAAUUUUUGAUAGAUCUUAUUGACAAAAUAGUUUGCGACCUCGAUGUUGGAUUAGGAUUCUUUUUUAAUGAAGAAGUUAAAAAAAGAAGUUUGUUCAACUUUUAAAUUCCUACUUGAUCUGAGUU